rnacentral:rRNA from 1 species
GUGCCAGCAGCCGCGGUAAUACGUAGGGUGCGAGCGUUGUUCGGAAUUACUGGGCGUAAAGGGCGUGCAGGCGGAUCGGCAAGCCGGAGGUGAAAGCCCGGGGCUCAACCCCGGAGGGUCUUUCGGAACUGCCAGUCUUGAGAGGGUCAGGGGCCAGCGGAAUUCCUGGUGUAGAGGUGAAAUUCGUAGAGAUCAGGAGGAACACCGGCGGCGAAAGCGGCUGGCUGGGGCCACUCUGACGCUGAGGCGCGAAAGCGUGGGGAGCAAACAGGAUUAGAUACCCUGGUAGUCCACGCCGUAAACGAUGGGCACUAAGCGUCCGACGGGUUCGACCCUGUUGGGUGCUGCAGUUAACGCGUUAAGUGCCCCGCCUGGGGAGUACGGUCGCAGGACUAAAACUCAAAGAAAUUGGCGG